UACGAUCUUCAGGGCGAGGUGGAAUUCCUCACUGGCGGUAUCGGUUUUGUGAAUGAAUAGCUGUAGUUCAUGCAAACUUGAAGCCCGCGACCCUCUUUGAGUAAAGAGGCUGAUUUGGUUAAAGGCCAAAGCCAACGGUUAUAGUCCGGAUGAAAGAAGAUGCAA
rfam:Eggerthella sp. CAG:368 genomic scaffold, scf32